ACGGAGGGUGCAAGCGUUGUUCGGAAUUAUUGGGCGUAAAGCGCGCGCAGGCGGGCCAUUAAGUCUGAUGUGAAAUCCCUCGGCUCAACCGAGGACGUGCAUUGGAUACUGGUGGUCUUGAGUCCCGGAGAGGGUGGCGGAAUUCCCAGUGUAGAGGUGAAAUUCGUAGAUAUUGGGAGGAACACCGGUGGCGAAGGCGGCCACCUGGACGGUGACUGACGCUGAGGCGCGAAAGCGUGGGUAGCAAACAGG
rnacentral:rRNA from 1 species